UAAUUUAGUUAAACAUUACUCAGCCUAGCCUCAUAUAUAAUAGUAUUAAUUCGGUAUUUAAAAAAGUAAGAUUUCUUUCCUUUCUUUAUUUGAUAUUUUUUGUACGUUUUCCAAGUUUUUUGGCACGAAACUUUUUUUAGUAAUCAUAAUGAUUGUUAAAAAACAUAAUGAUUGUAAGAAGGUAGAGUUCUAUUCUAUUUCCCGGUAUGUGCGUAUUUUUCUUAAUAAAUAAGUUAAUCAAUAAAUAAUAACUACUGUCUCACAAGUAAUAGGUCCAACAGAUCAUUUAUAUUGUAACUGUUUGGUCAUUAAAUCAUAAUUAUAUCACGAGGAUAAAUCCAAAGUCAUUAUUAAAGAUCAGAGAACGAAAUAUAAAAAUUAUACAAUUAUGUCCGCAUACAUUGUAGUUGUUAUGACAUUUGAUAAAGCCAGUCUUCAUUUACGGCUAGUAGUUUAAUUAUAUUUUGCAACUUGAUACAAUGUACGGCUCGUGUAUGGUAUUAAGAUCACAACCUUAGUUCAAAGGUGUAAGGGAUUAAUUGGAGUGUUUAUAAUUGAAUUAUUUAUUUUUUUAUUUACAUAUUUCAUACCAGUGACAAAAUUAUUUUGAUGUAUUUAAAAAUAGAUGGCGUUAGGAACUUGUUUAGCAAUAUUUUAUUACGGUGUUUUGGCUCUUAAUUUAUUUUAAUAGAUGAAGUUAAACACGGAGUAGCACCAGAGAUGCCUAAGUACAAUACGCGAUAUCAUUACGCCGCAUCCACGUCGCACUGACAGACAAACAAUCAACUUUCACGUUGUCAACCCACAUCGGAGGUGACGUGACGACACCAUCAGGCUGUCGGUGCGGCGCAAGAGUCGGCGGCGAGCGUGUUCACUACUUCAACGUAUCAUGCAUGGUCUCAUCGUGAUUUAGGUCGGUGAUGCAGAAUAAUUGGACGGCUGAUCUACCCAUCUCAUCUCGUAGCUAGUAGCUGCUAAAUAUUUUACUCUAAGUGUGCGUCGCUCAGAACUCGGUCCAUACAUCAGCAAUAAAACGGUUUACUGUCGCCUCCUGUCGACAAUGUACGAUUUAUAUCUGACAUUUAUGUGAGAUAGUAAAAUCUUCAAUUGUUUUUACCUACGAAAUUAAUAGAUUUUGUAUCUGUGAUCUUAAACGGUAUUUUAUAUUUAGUCUCUAUAUUCGCAUUAAAAAAAUGUGUAUAUUAGACGUGUUGUUUAUGACCUUCAAAUUUUAAAUAAAGAACGA